CAGUAGCCGCGGUAAUACAGAGGGUGCGAGCGUUAAUCGGAUUUACUGGGCGUAAAGCGUGCGUAGGCGGCUUCUUAAGUCGGAUGUGAAAUCCCUGAUCUUAACUUAGGAAUUGCAUUCGAUACUGGGAAGCUAGAGUAUGGGAGAGGAUGGUAGAAUUCCAGGUGUAGCGGUGAAAUGCGUAGAGAUCUGGAGGAAUACCGAUGGCGAAGGCAGCCAUCUGGCCUAAUACUGACGCUGAGGUACGAAAGCAUGGGGAGCAAACAGGAUUAGAUACCCCCGUAGUCCCUGUCUCUUAUAC
rnacentral:rRNA from 1 species